GCAAUGGGGGCAACCCUGAUCCAGCAACGCCGCGUGAGUGAUGAAGGCCUUCGGGUUGUAAAGCUCUGUUGAUGGGGAAGAAGGCAGUGACGGUACCCAUCGAGGAAGCACCGGCUAACUCCGUGCCAGCAGCCGCGGUAAUA
rnacentral:rRNA from 1 species